GCAACUUAAUAACACUCUUUGUUUAUUAAUUUUAUUUUUAUUUUACAUAAAUAAAGUACUCAAGAUGUGUGGCAGAUGUUGGAAUCUCAACAUGAAGACGGUAAACUACUUGUUUGAGUUCCCAUGGCAGCAGAGCAGGCUCAAGAGCCAUCAGACAGUGAAAAAAAAAAGACACAAAAUGAGAAGUGCUGGAUCUCUUACAUGGAAUCACAUCAGAGGGAAAGCAGAAGCUAAGGCAAUCUGAUGUCUAAGAAUGGAACCAGGGGGACAGAUCAGGGGAAAGGAUCUACUAUUUGGAAACAAAGGAGGCAAUUUUGGAGACAGUCAAAUACAACUUUUUUAAAUGCUAUAACCUAUAACUUGUAGAUGAAAAUUUCACCUUUAAAAAAAUCUAUACUAUAAUCAUAUUUUUAUUAUAAGAUC
rnacentral:lncRNA from 12 species